CUAGUUUGCCUACUUCCCGUUCACUCUUCAGCUCAAUUGUUGAUCAGAAACGAGUGACUGAGGCAGUGGAUGAGAAGGAAGACUAG
rnacentral:pre_miRNA from 1 species